rnacentral:rRNA from 1 species
GUUGAUCCUGCGGGAGGUUGCUGCUAUGAGGAUUCGACUAAGCCAUGCAAGUCUGAUAUUUAUUUAUCAGCAGAAUGCUCAGUAACACGUCGCUAAUUUGCCCUGUGGUCGUUGAUAACUUCGGGAAACUGAGGGUAAACAACGAUAGAAGAAUCUGCCUGGAAUGGUAUUUCUUCCAAACUCGAGCCACAGGAUAAGACGGCGGCCGAUUAGGUUGUUGGUGGUGUAAUGGACCACCAAGCCUAUGAUCGGUACGGGCCUUGAGAGAGGUAGCCCGGAGAGGGACACUGAGAAACUGGUCCCAGCCCUACGGGGUGCAGCAGGCGCGAAACCUUUACAAUGCACGCAAGUGUGAUAAGGGGAUCCUCAGUGCUCAUACAUUGUAAGGGCUUUUGUUAAACGUAAAUAGUUUAGCGAAUAAGUGGUGGGUAAGACUGGUGCCAGCCGCCGCGGUAACACCAGCGCCACAAGUGGCAACCACGUUUAUUGGGCCUAAAGCGUCCGUAGCCGGUUAGGUAAAUCUCUUGUGAAAUCGUCAUGCUUAACGUGACGGCGUGCUCGAGACACUGCCUAACUUGAGACCGGGAGGAGUCAGAGGUAUUCCAGGGGGAGCGGUAAAAUGUGAUAAUCCCUGGAGGAUCACCUAUGGCGAAGGCAUCUGACCAGAACGGAUCUGACGGUGAGGGACGAAGGCUAGGGGAGCGAUCCGGAUUAGAUACCCGAGUAGUCCUAGCAGUAAACGCUGCGAGCAAGAUGUUGCGCUUCUUAGGAGGAUGCGCAGUGUCGAAGAGAAGUCGUUAAGCUCGCCGCCUGGGAAGUACGGUCGCAAGACUGAAACUUUAAGGAAUUGGCGGGGGAGCACCACCAGGGGUGCGGCGUGCGGUUUAAUCUAACUCAACACAGAGAACCUUACUAGAAGCGACGGCAGGAAGAAGGCCAGUCUGAAGGGCUUGCCUGACGAGCCGAGAGGUAGUGCAUGGCCGCCGUCAGCUCGUGCCGUAAGGUGUCCAGUUAAGUCUGGCAACGAGCGAGACCUAUACCCUCUAUUGCUAACGGCCACAUGUGGGACCGAGCACUUUGAGGGGACUGCCUUGGAAACAAGGAGGAAGGUGUAGGCAACGGUGGUCUGUAUGCUCCGAAUCUUCUAGGCUACACGCGCGCAACAAUGGUAAUGACAAUGGGCUGCAACUCCGAAAGGAGAAGCUAAUCCUCGAAACAUUACCUCAGUUCGGAUCGCGGAUUGUAACUCAUCCGCGUGACGCCGGAAUCCCUAGUAACCAGAGUUCAUCAAACUUUGGUGAAUAUGUCCCUGCUCCUUGCACACACCGCCCGUCAAAUCAACCGAGCAGGAUUUUGGUAAAAUUUACUUUCCUGAGUAAAUUGAACCUGAGUUCAGUGAGGCGGAUUAAGUCGUCACAAGGUA